rnacentral:rRNA from 1 species
GGGAGAUAGUAAUCAGGAAAGUACCGAGAAAAGACGGUAUCGGCAGCACGGUAAGGAGGGGAAGCGUUAUGGAUUAUGGGUAAGGGGUAGGGGUGUAGUGGAGGGAAUCCCCGGNUCAACCUGGGAAUGCAUCGAUAUGACGAGCUGGAGUGCGAUAGAGGGGGGUAGAUUCCUAGGUAGCGGUGAAAUGCGUAGAUAUUAGGAGGAAUACCGGUGGCGAAGGCGGCCCCCUGGAUGGACACUGACGCUGAGGUGCGAAAGCGUGGGUAGCAAACAUGAUUAGAUACCCUGGUAGUCCACGCCGUAAACGAUGUUUACUAGCCGUUGGAGAUCUAGAAUCUUUAGUGGCGAAGCUAACGCGAUAAGUAGACCGCCUGGGGAGUACGGCCGCAAGGUUAAAACUCAAAUGAAUUGACGGGGGCCCGCACAAGCGGUGGAGCAUGUGGUUUAAUUCGACGCAACGCGAAGAACCUUACCUGGCCUUGACAUCCUGCGAACUUUCUAGAGAUAGAUUGGUGCCUUCGGGAGCGCAGAGACAGGUGCUGCUUGGCUGUCGUCAGCUCGUGUCGUGAGAUGUUGGGUUAAGUCCCGCAACGAGCAUCGAAUUCAAUGCGAGCCCGGGGGACUCGCAUGUUUGACGGCGCCGCCCACGGGGGGGCCUGUCUCUCGCGGGAAUGAGGNUGCUUCCGCGGACCUNGGCUUUUGA